GAAUACAAGGGUUAGAGAUCUGAGCGGAAAGAGCCAUUAAUAUUCGGUUGCUGUAAGAUUUCUUAAACUUUAUAUAUGUGUUUAUUUACAUUGUUUUAAAAAUUCAUAUUUAGUAUGUUAAAUAACAUGCUACACUCCUCUCCUAUCCAUCCGUAUCAGAAUCGAAUCAGGUCAGUCUUCUAUUUGGUUCACGAGGAAACAAGAUAGAAAAAACAAGAAAGAAAAAAAAUUGCACGCUUUGUUUGUGGCAGAUUUGUUUUGACUGAAUUGAAUUUAUUAUUUCUUUCAAUUUUGUGAUGCUGGAAUUGGAGAUGGUCACUCCACCUGUGGGUUUUCGACUAAAUCUUUGUCGAAAAUUCUAAUCAAGGGAGGUACCGUUGUGAACGCUCAUCACGAGGAGGUUGCUAAUGUUUAUGUUGAGGAUGGCAUCAUUGUGGCCGUAAAGCCUCAUAUUAACGUAUGUUUUGAGCAUUCGAUGUUCGAUUCAUUCUUUCUUUUCUCUUUUUAUGAAUGAUUUUGAAAUUGAAUAUCAUAGUUUUUUGUGCUAGCUCUGGUUGUUGACUUUGCAACGGCGGUUUUUAACUAUGCCUUUUUUUUUUGAAUGGGGCUAUGCUUUUAUUAUUAUUAUUAUUAUUAUUCAUUGUCUAUUAAUUGGUAAAUUAAUAUUAAACUAAGUGACUGUGAAUGAUGUAUGUUUAUUAAAGUUUACAACUUUGCUCAUUAAUUUCGCCUUUACUGUUACAUCAUACAUUAGGUGCAACUUUUUUCCUGGAAUGCUUACACAGUUUUUUUUCUUUUCAAUUCUUCGAUAUUUAUGUAUCCAGUUUUUGUAUAUGUCAAACUGUUAAUAUAGUUUGGUUUUUCAGUACUUGUAAAUUGAUUCUAUUUUUCUUUUUUUACCAUGUGCGUUAAAUUUAUCACAAUAGCUAAACUGAGAUAAACUUUGUUUGUCUGCGUAGCCAUCUGUAGAAUGUUAAAACUUAAAAGUUUGUAAUAUUUUGUUUUCCUUGGGAUUCCUAUUAAUAUGGCUUUUUUUUUUUUAAUCUUUAUGAUUUAAUGAAUGUUCGACCUAAUUUGUUUAUGCCAUAUGCAGGUUGGUGAUGAUGUCACUGUGAUUGAUGCUGUUGGAAAGUUUGUUAUGCCAAGUUAGAUUCUUUUUAGAGUGCAUACAACGUAGUUGUAUUUUUUAGAGCAGGGGGAGAAUAAUGCAAGCACUGACUGAGCAGCAGCACUAGCAGGUGGAACAACUAUGCAUAUUGACUUUGUUUUACCUGUUGAUGGAAGUUUGAUGACCGGAUUUGAAUCUUAUGAAAAGAAGUCCAAGAAUUCCUGCAUGGACUAUGGUUGCCAUAUGGCGGUCACAAAAUGGGAUGAAACAGUCUCAAAAGAAACGGAAAUAAUGGUUUAGGAAAAAGGGAUAAACUCUUUCAAGUUUUUUCUCGCUUACAAGGGAUCUUUCAUGAUUAGUGAUGAGCUUCUAUUACAAGGAUUUAAGAAGUGCAAAUCUCUUGGUGCCUUAGCUAUGGUCCAUGCAGAAAAUGGAGAUGUUGUGUAUGAAGGACAUAAAAGAAUGAUAGAACUUGGUAUUACUAGCUCGAGGGACAUGCUCUUUCAAGGCCCCCAGUGGUAAUUAUGAAAUAUGUUCUUUAUGCAAACUAAUCUUGGCUGAUAACUUUGCUUUCCUUAGGGGCCAUGUUUAUGGUCAGAUGUAUUAAAUACAUUAUUGAUGUCCUAUUGAUCUUGCAUAAGUUGAGCUCAUGUAAAUCCAUUGCUCACAGUUGCAGCACUUUACUGUUUUCCCUGUAUAGUAAGUAUUAGUAUUGAAAGGAGGAGUGUUCAUCAAUAAAAAACUAGGAUUUUUGGGGGGUGGGAUGUGAUGCACCAUAGAAGGAUAACUAUUCUAUAAUCCCUUUUUUCUACCAUACUAGUUUGACAAAGUCAUUGCUCAUUUUUUUUCUUUGAAUUUGUCAUAUUAUGUUUGCUUGAAAUAAUCAUAUAGAAUAUUCAAAAGAUAUUUUUAUGCAUUUGAUCCUUAUAUUUCACAUAAUUUUUGUAGCUGGAAGGAGAGGCAACCGCUUGAGCUAUUCGAUUGGUAGAGUUUGUUAAUACUCCUCUCUAUGUAGUUCAUGUGAUGAGCAUUGAUGCUAUGGAAGAGGUUGCUAAAGCUCGAAAAUCAGGGUUGAGGGUUAUUGGAGUAACUGUAGUAUCUGCCUUAGUCCUUGAUGAUUCUUGGCUCUGGCAUCCUGACUUUUCCAUUGCGGCAAAGUAAUAAGCUGGACAUUAUCUCAUUAUUUCAUCAUCACUGAUAGUUCCUUCUAUCAUUACUGUUGGUUAUGAUUUGUAAACCAUAUCAAACUUCCCAUGUUUCAGGUAUGUAAUGAGUCCUCCCUGUUACAAAAAUAAUUACAAUAAUAAAAAUGAUAACACCUGAGGCGUGCAAACAAGACACUGUCCUUAAGGAUUUACAAAGUAAUCCCCCAGAAUUCAACAGGUCUUUUGAUUACAAUAAAAGAACCAAGAAAAUAAAAACAGCAAAAACAAUAUAAUACCCAGCCAAGAACAAUUAUAUAUAUAAGUAAUAGAUAUAUCUAUUCUAUAUAAAGUGUGUCUAUAUAAUUAAAUUCUUGGUUUAUGAGAAAUUUGGUGUGACUUUUUAUUUAUAUUUAAUAAAAUAAUAA